rnacentral:rRNA from 1 species
UCUCUCUGAAUCUGCGAACGGCUCCGCAAACCAGUUGUAAACUAUAGCAAGCAAGCCCAGGUUCCCCUUCACGGGGGGGCUUGGGCAACACGGAUAACCCUGGUAAUUCUGAGGCUAAUACGAGAACGCAAUACCUGAACGACCGGGCGACUGGGAGUUUGGGAGGCGUGCAAGUUGUGUCGCGAGAAAUCGCCGGGAAUGGAUGCACGCCUGGACCGCGCUAAAAACAGAUGGGUGUCCCUGGCCUUCACGGGUCGGGGGUGCCUGCCUGAGCGGCUCUUGCUGUGUGCUUCUGACCUAUCAACUAGACGGCAGCGUAAGGGACAUGCUAUGGUUACAACGGGUACAGAGGAUUAGGGUUCGAUCCUGGAGAGUGGGCCUGAGAGAUU